UGGAAAGACGUGGACGUGGCCAGGGGAAUACGGAGGGUGCGAGGGGUAAUCGGAAUGACUUGGCGUAAAGCGUGCGCAGGCGGUUGAGUAAGACAUGCGUGAAAUCCCCGGGCUUAACCUGGGAACUGCGCUUGUGACUGGUCAGCUAGAGUACGGCAGAGGGGGGUGGAAUUCCACGUGUAGCAGUGAAAUGCGUAGAGAUGUGGAGGAACACCGAUGGCGAAGGCAGCCCCCUGGGCCGAUACUGACGCUCAUGCACGAAAGCGUGGGUAGCAAACAGGAUUAGAUACCCCAGUGGUC
rnacentral:rRNA from 1 species